GGGCAGACAGACAGGGGGGUGGUUGGAUGGGAGGAGGGGGUUUAGCCAGUGUAAAGGCAAAAGCGAUCCCCCACCCCCAGCCUCCCUUCCCCGCACACACACACAUCCACACACUCACACCCCACCCCCUAGUCUGGCUGGGAAUUUGAACCGAUCCAGCCUGUUUAAACGGAAAGGACACAGAUCUUCAAUGUAAAAAAAAAAUCAGAUCAGACCCAGAGAGAGAGAGAGACGGAGAGGGAGGAGUGUGUGUGAGAGAGAGAGUGUGUGUGAAAGAGGGAGAGGGAGCAAGAGAGCGAGAGAGAGGGAGAGAGAGAGGGAGAGAGAGGGAGGGAGAGAGAAAAGAAGAGGGGGAAAAAAAGGAAAGAAGAUUUUCUCUAUGUAUAUAAAGAUGGCCACGUUAGCAAACGGACAACCAGACAAUACCAGCCUGAGUAGCAAUCACAGCAACCCCAGCACCAACGGGCAUAUGAACGGAUUAAACCAUAGUCCCGGAAACCCAUCCACCAUCCCAAUGAAGGACCACGAUGCCAUUAAGCUCUUUAUUGGGCAGAUCCCCCGUAACCUGGACGAGAAAGACCUCAAACCGCUCUUCGAGGAGUUUGGGAAGAUCUAUGAACUGACAGUGCUGAAGGACAGGUUCACUGGCAUGCACAAAGGCUGUGCCUUCCUAACGUACUGCGAAAGGGAGUCUGCUCUAAAGGCCCAGAGUGCCCUGCAUGAACAGAAGACUCUGCCAGGGAUGAACAGACCGAUCCAGGUGAAACCAGCAGACAGCGAAAGCCGAGGAGAAGAUAGAAAACUCUUUGUGGGCAUGCUCAAUAAGCAGCAGUCAGAAGAUGAUGUGCGCAGGCUAUUCGAGGCGUUUGGCAACAUCGAGGAGUGCACGAUCCUUCGGGGACCCGAUGGCAACAGCAAAGGGUGUGCAUUUGUGAAAUACUCUUCACAUGCAGAGGCCCAAGCAGCCAUCAAUGCCUUGCAUGGCAGCCAGACAAUGCCGGGAGCCUCUUCAAGCCUGGUGGUGAAGUUUGCAGAUACGGACAAGGAGCGUACAAUGAGACGCAUGCAGCAAAUGGCAGGACAAAUGGGCAUGUUCAACCCCAUGGCCAUCCAGUUUGGAGCAUAUGGCGCCUAUGCACAGGCACUGAUGCAGCAGCAAGCCGCGAUCAUGGCGUCAGUGGCGCAGGGCGGCUACCUGAACCCCAUGGCAGCCUUUGCUGCAGCCCAGAUGCAGCAAAUGGCAGCCCUGAACAUGAACGGGCUGGCUGCCGCUCCCAUGACACCAACCUCAGGAGAGUGGGUUCCUUGGGACAUGGCCAUGAGUUCAUUCAGGCUCACGAGUUCCCAUGGUGGAAGCACGCCUCCUGGCAUAACUGCACCAGCUGUGCCUAGCAUCCCAUCUCCAAUUGGGGUGAAUGGUUUCACUGGCCUCCCGCCGCAGGCUAAUGGGCAGCCCGCCGCCGAAGCCGUGUUUGCUAAUGGCAUUCACCCUUACCCAGCACAAAGCCCCACUGCAGCAGACCCCUUGCAGCAAGCCUACGCUGGAGUGCAGCAGUACGCAGGUCCUGCUUAUCCUGCUGCUUAUGGCCAGAUUAGCCAAGCCUUCCCACAGCCACCUCCCAUGAUCCCACAGCAACAGAGAGAAGGCAGUGGGGAGCAGUGGGAUCCUCAGAGGCAACCCGCUCAGGUGGUCCCAGUCAUCCUCCAGAGAAUCACUGCUCCCUUUGGACAAGAGGACCCUGCUUGCCUAAGUGAGGCAUUUAAGUCAGGACCAGAGGGCUGUAACCUGUUUAUCUACCAUCUGCCCCAGGAGUUUGGGGAUGCUGAGCUGAUGCAGAUGUUCCUGCCUUUCGGUAAUGUCAUCUCCUCGAAAGUGUUUGUGGAUCGGGCGACAAACCAAAGUAAAUGCUUUGGUUUUGUGAGUUUUGACAAUCCUGCCAGUGCCCAAGCUGCUAUCCAGGCCAUGAAUGGCUUCCAAAUUGGCAUGAAGAGGCUGAAGGUGCAGCUGAAGAGGCCAAAGGAUGCUAACCGUCCCUACUGAAGAAUUGUGGGAACAACUGGAUACAAAGCACUAGCACAGAGCCAGUCAAAUCCACCACAGUCUCGCGCUGAGCUAGGAAAAAAGUUCACGUAAUGACAUGAAAGUGGAGAAUACAGUCCCCCAGGCCGGCAGCAGCUGAAUGGGCUACAUUUAGAAAAAAAAAAAAGUAUAUAUAUAUUAAAAAAAAACAGGAACUGUUGGAUUACACCUUUGACAUAUCAGCAAAUAUCAAUCAAGCUGAAGACUUCAGAAUUAUUCUCUCUUUGAUUGUUUAGACUGUAACAUUUCUUCAAGGAAAGUAUCACAUCUGCUGACUUCGAAGGACAUGCGCUUGAAAACAAACAAACAAAUACAUAAGUAAAAUCAGAACAGGAUCAAGAUCAACCAGGAUUUCUGAAGAGACACUGAUAUCACCACAGCGGCUUUUCUUCAAACAGGAGAUGCAAACCUGGAUACUGGCAAAGGAGUGCCUGUUUGCCACCAAGGAUGCGGUUAUCAUGUGUGACCCAUGGUAACAGUCACUGAGCAUCUUUAUCUGUCAUUCCUUAGCUAUAUGGGGACCAAAGGACAAAACUUUUUACCGCAGACUUGUAGCUGUAUGUAAAAUAUGGAAGUUCUUUCCUUUUCUCUGAGCUGUUCCUAAAACAGUUUUUGAGAGCGAUUAUAAGAAAUAUGUAAAAAUUAAAAAAAAAAAUAAUAAUAACGCUUAAAUGCUUUUAAAACGGCAAGAUAAUAGUUCUUUGAUACUUUGGGAGGUUCUUUGGUUAUACAUUAAUUAGAGUCUAUGAAGCUUUCAUAUGGUUUUCUGUAUAAUACGUAAGGAUUGCGCUGUUAAAGGCAGGUAAGAUGGAUAUCUAUGAAAAGCAAAAAAGUAAAUAAAUAAAUACAUAAAUAAAUACAUUAAAAGGCAUAGAGAAGAGAAAGGAAAGAUGGUUGAUAUUAAAUGGAAAACAAAAAAAGGUUUGUAAAUGCUUCUAACUCUCCCCAUUUAAAAUCCUAAUAGUUGUACAGAAUUUAAAAAAAGAAAGUUUAAAAUACCUAUAUAAUAGAAAAAAUUAGACAACAUAAAAAGAAAAAAAUAAAAAAAGCAAAAAAAAAAAUAACUACAUAGAAGUUAGCGUUAAUGCUAAAAACAAAGAUGUUGUAGAACUGUAAUUUUUUGUAGAGUUUAGAUUGAGCAUAAAUUCCUACUCUCUGCCAAUUGCUGUUGGAUGCUGUUAUUUAUCGAGGAGAAAGAGGAGAGAAAUGGCUAUUUUGGCAGCUUUUUUAACUGCGAGCAUUCCAGCUAUUAAAAAAAAAUAAACGAAACGAAACUCAAUUCUGUAGACAAUGCAAAUGGGAAAAAAAGAAAAAAAAAAAAACAGCUGUCUUUUUAUCAGACGUUAGUUCUAACUUGAACAAUGAAACACAGCUAAACGCUUCAUGUCUUCAUGAUCUGCUGUCCGCAAAAUUCCCAUCAUCCUAUGCUUUAGUAGCUUCCAUAUUUGCUCUAGAAACCUUCAGGGCAAGGUGUUAGCCUAGAACCUUAAUCUUAAAAAAUAAAAAUAAAAAAAGAAUAAAAAAAAUAAAAAAGAAAAAAUAAACAAAAAAAAACAUAAGGAAACAAUCUCUUUGAAGAACUUCUGAAACUGUUUACAAGGAAUUUUGAAAAAACAGGGGGAUGUUUAAAAAAAAUAAAGAUGCUGGCUCUGUUUCUCUGUAAAUAAAUUUGCAUAUUUUGUAGGACUUUUAAUUGUAAUGAUAGAGAAAAACAAGGAAAACUAUUUAAUGAAAGCACGAUAUUUAUCUUUGGUAAAUGACUUUAGAGCAGUUAAAAAAUAAGACAUUGCUUUAAAAAAUCUGACUCAGAAAAACAAUGAAUUAUUUAAGAACACAUAUAUUUUAAAGUAUAUCAUAUUUAUUAUAAUUUAUUUUCACAGUCUUAAAACUUGAUUUACAUCAUUCUCACACUUGUUGCAUUGAUUGAGCAGUGUGAUAAUUGUUUCUGAUCCUUUAUAUGGUUUUACUGUUUUAAUGUUCUUGUUUGGUUUCCUUACUGUUUUUUAUCUUGAUCUCAAACUUUCUUCCUUUCUCUUUUUUUUUUUUUUUUUUUUAAUUUUGUUAUUUUUAUUUUAAUUUUAAUUCCCUAACGGGCCUCAUCUUACGAGUCCUUCUCCUGUCAGAACUCCCAUGGGGAUUUAGAGGGUUUUCUACAUGAGUAAGAACUCAGUCAGACUGAGCCCACAGCUAGGAAGUACAGAUGUGUAACGCAGCUGCAGUUCCAUACAACUGCUCUUUCACUCUCAAUUCCCUAAAACUCCUUGUAAUCUUCUGUAAUUAUUGAAUGACGCUUUCCAGCUUAGCCCUAAAUAAAGCACAGUUUAAAAAAAAAAAAAAAAAAAA